GGUGAGACUAGGAAUUCAGUCGACCACAUCUCCUUAUCACUUUUCCAGCCCAGCUAUCCAUUUAGUAUCCGUUGGACGGAGAACUGAUAAGGGCAUGUGCCCGAUACUCCCUCCUGGUCCAUC
ensembl:miRNA